rnacentral:tRNA from 1 species
GCUGACGUAGCUCAAUUGGCAGAGUAGCUGAUUUGUAAUCAGCCGGUUGUCGGUUCAAGUCCGACCGUCAGCUCCA